UACGUAGGGUGCGAGCGUUAAUCGGAAUUACUGGGCGUAAAGCGUGCGCAGGCGGUUUUUUAAGGCCGAUGUGAAAUUCCCCGGCUUAACCUGGGAACUGCAUUUGGAACUGGAAGACUAGAGUACGGCAGAGGGGGGUAGAAUUCCACGUGUAGCAGUGAAAUGCGUAGAUAUGGGGAGGAAUACCGAUGGCGAAGGCAGCCCCCUGGGUCGAUACUGACGCUCAUGCGCGAAAGCGUGGGGAGCAAACAGG
rnacentral:rRNA from 1 species